UCCUGAGCAACUCCCUUGACCCGGCUAGCAGGCCCGCCUGCCCUGAAGAGCACUUUCCCUUUCCUCACGGCGCUCCGAGAAGAAAGGAGGGAGGCUUGCGGAGGAGUCGGUGGGGGUCUGACUUAAUCUGACCCAUUGCUCAGAUGAUGACCAUUAAGUCGUUUAAAUCCCGCCGGAGAGCAGAGGUCCACAGGAAGUGACUCCCUGUGGUGGCGACGGCUGCAUGUUAGCGCGGCGCUCCAGCUGCAUUAUGACUGGCCCUGCAGAGGAUAGUGAGGGGAACCGGAAGGGGAACAAACUCUUGGAAAGAGACCCAGCCUGCAGCGCGGAGGAGAGCGAGGUCACGCUGGACGGUGAGGGAUGGGCAGGGCGAAGCCAUUCGGCUGAAGACUGAUGUGUGAGGAAGUCCGUGCAGGUCUGCCUGGAGCGGGAAACACCUGUUCUCCUCAACCUGUGAUGAGUCUGAGGGGCCGUCAGUGUGUCAAACUCACUUUCAUUUUGAGCCAUAUCAAAACCUGAACAGUCUUAAAGGGCCGGUUGUUCCAGAAUGUAUUGAUAAAACCCACUGAACUGUUAAGAUAUCAAUAAUCAGAUGAUCCUCCUGGAUUUUGUGUUUGUUUUUGUGAGGAAUUUUGCACUAAUGUUUGAUGUUAAAUGUGACUUCUUGUUACUUUGCUGUAUCAAUAACUUGAUGUUAAGUAAAGCUGAGGCAGCAGUGGUUUUAACUCAACGUUUUUGACCAAUUUGGAGAAAAAUUAGCAAAACAACAUGUGGAGAUUUGUUGAUAUAAUGUGAAUUUUUCAGAUUUGUGAAAAACUGGAGGGAUUUGUUGAUGUUAUUCGGAGUUUAGAGGGCCACAUAAAAACCUACGGCGGGCCAGAUUUGGCCCCCGGGCCUCGAGUUUGACACAUGCUCUAAAUGCUUUUUGUCUGUGAGGGGAAUCCACAAGAAAACUGAAAAACUGGGAGUGAUGUUGCUUUAAAUCUGGAUACCCGUGUCCUUCCUGGAUUUUAAAAUCUGACCUUUUCCUGACCUCCAUGUUUGUUUAUCAUAUUACCUGAAAACAGGUAGCGUUUAUUUUCCCCAAAGAUUGGAAAUAGUUGGUUUAAGGCUAAACAGGAAAUGAAGACUUGUGGGUCUGUCUGUCGGCGCUGAUCCUGCAGGUGACCGCGAGGCUUCAUCAGUAGCACUCACAGUGAGGUCACGGGUUCAAAUCCCAGGUGUUGUGCCUCACAGCAGGACACAU